AUUGAACGCCGGCGGCAUGCCUUACACAUGCAAGUCGAACGGCAGCGGGGGAGAAGCAUGCUUUUCCUGCCGGCGAGUGGCGAACGGGUGAGUAAUACAUCGGAACGUGCCCUGUAGUGGGGGAUAACUAGUCGAAAGAUUAGCUAAUACCGCAUACGACCUGAGGGUGAAAGUGGGGGACCGCAAGGCCUCAUGCUAUAGGAGCGGCCGAUGUCUGAUUAGCUAGUUGGUGGGGUAAAGGCCUACCAAGGCGACGAUCAGUAGCUGGUCUGAGAGGACGAUCAGCCACACUGGGACUGAGACACGGCCCAGACUCCUACGGGAGGCAGCAGUGGGGAAUUUUGGACAAUGGGCGAAAGCCUGAUCCAGCAAUGCCGCGUGUGUGAAGAAGGCCUUCGGGUUGUAAAGCACUUUUGUCCGGAAAGAAAUGGCUCUGGUUAAUACCUGGGGUCGAUGACGGUACCGGAAGAAUAAGGACCGGCUAACUACGUGCCAGCCGCCGCCGUAA
rnacentral:rRNA from 1 species